GAGAAGAACGCAGCGAAAUGCGAUACGUAAUGUGAAUUGCAGAAUUCAGUGAAUCAUCGAGUCUUUGAACGCACAUUGCGCCCCCUGGUAUUCCGGGGGGCAUGCCUGUCCGAGCGUCAUUGCUGCCCUCAAGCCCGGCUUGUGUGUUGGGUCUCGUCCCCCUUCCCGGGGGGACGGGCCCGAAAGGCAGCGGCGGCACCGCGUCCGGUCCUCGAGCGUAUGGGGCUUUGUCACCCGCUCUGUAGGCCCGGCCGGCGCUUGCCGAUCAACCAAAACUUUUUUCCAGGUUGACCUCGGAUCAGGUAGGGAUACCCGCUGAACUUAAGCAUAUCAAUAAGCGGAGGA
rnacentral:misc_RNA from 1 species